AGAAAAGGUAGAGGUUUGCAAAGGGAGUAGUCUCUGGUACUUUUGUUACUUAGGUGUAGAAAGUUAUACUUUUCCUUUCUUUUUUUUAGGACCUCUUCAAGGAGAACUACAAACCACUGCUCAACGAAAUAAAAGAAGACACAAACAAAUGGAAGAACAUUCCAUGCUCAUGGAUAGGAAGAAUCAGUAUCGUGAAAAUGGCCAUACUGCUCAAGGCAGCUCCAGACCCAAAGAGAAGAUCAGCUUCUCAGCUGUGGUGGGAACCCAACCCAGGAGAGUGUGCAGUCAGUUGGAACUCUAGUUCUCCAAAAAAUGGGGAAGUCAGCAAAUGGAGAAAUAAGGGUUUCACUCCUGUCGCCCAGGCUGGAGUGUGGUGGCACACUCUAGGCUCACUACAACCUCUGCCUCCCAGGCUCAAGCAAUCCUGCCUCAGCCUCCUGAGUAGCUGGGACUACAGGCACACACCGCCACACCCAGCAAAUUUUUGUAUUUUUAGUAGAGACGGGAUUUCACCACAUUGGCCAGGCUGGUCUGGAACUCCUGGCCUCAAGUGAUCCACCCUCCUCAGCCUCCCAAAGUUCUGGGAUUACAGGUGUGAGCCACCCCGGUCUCAUUAUUAUUAUUAUUAUUAUUAUUAUUAUUAUUAUUAUUAAGACAGAGUUUCACUUUGUUGCCCAGGCUGGAGUGCAGUGGCACGAUCACGGCUCACUGCAGCUUCAACCUCCCAGGCUCAAGCGAUCCUCCUACCUCAGCCUCCUGAGUAGCUGGGACUACAGGUGUGCACCACCAUGCCCGGUUAAUUUUUGUAUUUUUUGUAGAGACGGGGUUUCACUGUGUUGCCCAGGGUGGUCUGGAAUUCCUGGGCUCAAGCUAUCCUUCCACCUCUGCUUCAUAAAGUAUUGGGCUUACAGGAGUGAUCCACCACGACUAGCCUCCAUGCAAUCUCAUUUAUCUAUUUUUGUUUUUGUUGCCUGAACUUUUGUGGUCAAAUACAAAAAAUCAUUGCCCAGACCCAUAAAAUAAAAGUAUUGAAAGUGUAUAAAAUUAUGGCUGGGUGCGGUGGCUCAUGCCUAUAAUCCCAGCACUUUGGGAGGCGAGGAUGGGUGUAUCACUUGAGGCCAGGAGUUUGAGACCAGCCUGGCCAAUAUGGUGAAAUCUUGUCUCUAGGGAAAAAAAGAAAAAGAGCCAGGCCCGGUGGUGCGCCAGUGCCUGUAAUCCCAACUACUUGGGAGGCUGAGGGAGAAUAGCUUGAACCCAGGAGGCAAAGGUUGCAGUGACUCGAGAUUGUGCCACUGCACUCCAGCCUGGGCGACAGAGCAAGACUCCGUCUCAAAACAAGAAA